rnacentral:misc_RNA from 1 species
UACGAAGGGCCCGAGCGUUAUUCGGAAUCACUGGGCUUAAAGGGUGCGUAGGCGGAAGGGUAAGUGCUUUGUGAAAUCCCAGUGCUCAACGCUGGAAUAGCAGGGCAUACUGCCUUUCUUGAGGUCGGCAGAGGUCGCUGGAACUCUAGGUGUAGCGGUGAAAUGCGUAGAUAUCUAGGGGAACGCCAAAGGUGAAGACAGGCGACUGGGCCGAUUCUGACGCUGAGGCACGAAAGCGUGGGGAGCAAACAGG